rnacentral:tRNA from 1 species
ACGAAAGAUUGGUGACUGGUAAGAAUCCACAACAAGUUGUUCUUCGAAGAUGUAUCUGAGGGUCUGUAGCUCAGUUGGUUAGAGCACACGCUUGAUAAGCGUGGGGUCACAAGUUCAAGUCUUGUCAGACCCACCAAAUCUGAUUGCAGUAGCUUGGAUUGAAAGAUAUGUCGUUCAUUAAGUGAUAAGCUGGGGACUUAGCUUAGUUGGUAGAGCGCCUGCUUUGCACGCAGGAGGUCAGGAGUUCGACUCUCCUAGUCUCCACCAUGUACUUUACGGAGUACGAGCUAAAGAUUACAGAAUUUAGUAAGCAGUUAGCUUAUUAACUUCUGUGAUUUAUCACAGUUUACUACUCACCGACGAGGUGGUAGUUAAUCAUUAACAGAUUAGAAAAUUGAGUCUGAAAUAAAUUGUUCACUCAAUUCAUUCGAAAGAAUGAGAUUGAGAACUAGCAAAAACACUGAAUCAAGCGUUUUGGUAUAUGAAUUUAGAUUGAAGCUGUAUGGUGAUUAAGUUCACAGACAACGAAUAGUAGCAAUUAAGUUUGCAACGAUAACACUCACUUGUAUGUGUUAACGACUGUUUGGGGUUGUAU